rnacentral:rRNA from 1 species
GACGAACGCUGGCGGCGUGCCUAAUACAUGCAAGUCGAACGCAGUGGGGACGGGUGAGUAACACGUGGGUAACCUCCCAUCAGAGGGGAUAACACUUGGAAACAGGUGCUAAACCUAUACUGAGGGAUGGACCCGCGGUGCAUUAGCUAGUUGGUGAGGUAACGGCGCACCAAGGCCACUAUGCAUAGCCGCCCUGGUGUGGUGAUCGGCCACACUGGGAGUGCGACACGGCCCAGACUCCUCAGGGAGGCAGCAGUAGGGAAUCUUCGGCAAUGGACGAAAGUCUGGCCGAGCAACGCCGCGUGAGUGAAGAAGGUUUUCGGAUCGUAAUACUCUGUUGUUAGAGAAGCGGUAUCUAACCAGAAAGCCACGGCUAACUACGUGCCAGCAGCCGCGGUAAUAC